rnacentral:rRNA from 1 species
UACGUAGGUGGCAAGCGUUGUUCGGAAUUAUUGGGCGUAAAGGGUGCGUAGGCGGUUCCGCAAGUCCUGUGUGAAAUCUUCGGGCUCAACUCGAAGUCUGCACGGGAAACUGCGGGGCUUGAGUGUGGGAGAGGUGAGUGGAAUUCCCGGUGUAGCGGUGAAAUGCGCAGAUAUCAGGAGGAACACCGGUGGCGAAGGCGGGUCUCUGGGCCGUUACUGACGCUGAGGAGCGAAAGCGUGGGGAGCGAACAGG